ensembl:lncRNA
UUUAUUGUCUGUAGAAACAAGAUUUACAUUGAUUUUAUAUAAACUAUGUUAAACAUACAUAUAAACAUACCUACAUCUUAAUAUAUACUUAUGAAUGAGGAUUUUAGAUAUGAGAUAACAUUGUCAAGAGCACCGUUGUGGACGCCAAAGACUACAGACUUAAAAUGCAUUUGCAUUUAACUCCAUCUUCAGUAGUUUAAAAAUGUCAUUUCUUAUCCACACUUAGAAAUAAUUACAUUAAAGAUUUCUAACACUGUGUUUGUAUGUGUACACACGUGCACAUACACACAUUAGAAGGUCCUUGUGAAACUACAGUAUAAAUAACAUCAAUGUUAAUAUAUUCCUUACAAGUAGACAUCAGUCCACAUCCUCAUUCAAUUGGGGGGAAAAGAAUUCCUGCUAUUCUUAAACAAAAUAAUGAGGCUUUUUUAUUCCACGAAGAGCAUACUCAAACAACAACUGUUUCCACCCUGUCUCUUCCCUCAACAAUAAAGAUAUGAGAAGCCAGUCACAAAAUGAAAGCCAUCUACUACAUUAUUUACAGAAAAUGAAAUAUUAAAAGACAGCAUGAGAUUUAGACUGCUUAGACAAAAUUCAGAGCAAUGAACAGUGAACAGAAGAAAACUGUAUUCAAGUGGCAAGCAGCAUAGAGCUAUUAAGCCACGUGGCUGAAUACCCACUCAAAACCCCCUCCCAACAACAAAAAGCAUCAGGCACAGAAGGAAAGGGCAGGUGUUAUGACUGUAGUUUUCUCUGCUCUGAACACUAAAAAUUUAGCUCCUCAAGCUUGAAACAGAACACUCUUUAAAUGUUCAUCACUACCAUUAAGGUCUAUUAAGGAGUCAAGUGUUACAAGUAGGCUUUCAAUGACCUUGAAAUGGCUUUUAUUUUUUUUUCUCCUUCAAAAGGAGGCUGAAGAACCUCCUAUCUUCAAAUCUUGCAGCAAUGGAAUGAAGUCUGUCAAGGGCCAGAAUAAUGUGCAGAAACAUCCCUUCCCCCCCCAGGUUCAUUCAGAUGCCAGUCUGAAGUCUUUCUUCUAGAAAGCUCUCCCGUAGAAAACUUUGCAGAUGGCUGUUCAAAUGUUUAAGGAAAGGCAAGAGGCAUGUUUCUACACAGCAUAGGAAAAGAUCCCUUUGGAAAGCAAGGAAGUUAAAGAACUCCCUCUAUUUACAGUCUCUAAGGUGAACACUGAGAAAUCAACUCUCUCUUUGCUAUAAUCUUUAAUCUUCUCCUCCAAGCAACUCUCACUAUCCAUUUCCAAGACAUGGCAGAAAAUAACUUUCCAAGUUUUGAGAACCCCACCUUUUUUAAUGCCACCAAAGUGUCAUCUUGGUUUUUAUUUUGUUUUUAAAGCAACUAAGUUCAUAUAAAGAAAAUUCAGCAUUUCACUCUGAGGCCCUGGGAGAGAAGGCAGCAAGUAAGCCAUUAACACAAUUGGUGAUCAGCUGAAUUUACUCCCAUCCUCUCUGCUAUCAGUUACCUGAGUUGAGACAGUUCUAUCCAGGUCUCAAGGCCGUCUAAAUCCAUCAGGUAAGGUGAAACAUGAAAAUAAUUGCUAGAGUUAAGGCAGGCUUGUAGAAGCUUUGUAAUGUGUUGCUUCUUACUAGCCCCAGAAUUUUGUUAACCUUGUGAACUCGCAUCAAAGUUUAAAAUGAGGAUUCUAACAAAUCUAUGUAGAGAUUAAAUGGAUCAUCAAUAUAAAUGCUAACAUCACAACUUACUAUUUCAGACACUUAUAAGGAAGACUCUAGUCGUAUUAAAGCCAUUGCAUUUUGGAUAGCAAUUAAAAGAACAUUUCACAUGGGAACAAUUGAGUGACAUGAGCAUUUAACAGCCAUUUCAAGUCAACCAAAAAGAAAGGCAAUUCACAUUUAUAUUUUCAACGUAUAGGACAAAGCUAGAAAGCUCUUAGACAAUCACAUUUUUAAGUUGCCCUUCCAAUGCAAAUGCAGUGGCAGACUUUACUAGCACAAGCGACGCUGUUUUCCUUCUGAGACUUACACAUGUAUUUAAAUAAGUAGUUAUUCUGAUAUCAGUCCAUAUUCCCAUUAGAAACAAUGGGAUAAUCAGGAUAUUACUUAAGUCUUUGUACAGGUGUUUUCUACAAUGCAAUCACAAUACAGAAAGGCACCAAGUUAUUCAAGUAAAUAGACCUUUCUUCUACUUAAGACUUUUUCUUGCGCCUUCACAACCCAAUCAGUAACUUCAAUACACUGCUCUCAACAAAACGUAUUCCAGUACAACAGAACUUUUCUGUGCUACAAGCAUAAGCAAGCUGAUUUGUGUGUAAGUAUAUAGACACAAGCCUCCAACUCACAAAGAUAUAUCUACAUAGCAAUGUCUCAUACCAGAUAGAGCUGAUGCCUCUAGCACCUAAACCAGUCACAGAAUUCAACCUUCGUAUGAUUUUUAUAAAAUACAGGAAGUUUUAUCAUCACAGAAUCUCAAAUUAACAAAGUAAAGUUAUCAGUAAAGAAUGUGAUUUGAGCAAAUGGUAUCACAUUAAAUAAAAGCUAAAGCAACUGAAACAGUUACUACAUUUCAUCAUAUGACAUUCAUCUUGGGACCGAGGGUGGGCAAGGAGUGGGGGGAGAAGUCAAGGUCAGUAAACAUGCCAACAAACCCUGCUUGUAAUAUGUUGCUCACAGUUGUAGAAAUAAAAAACAAAGCUAAACUGUUCAAAAACAAAACAAAUCAGAGAUACCUAGUCAUGCACAAGUAAAAUAAGAGAGCACAAAAUCAGAGAGGAGCCAGUCACAUUUCUAAACCUGGUUAAAGCAGCAUUAACUGACUGAAGCCCGACUACUUCAGCAUUACUUCUAAGCAGUGUUAGCAAAACUGCCAUGUCAGAAGUUUCUUCAUAUAUCCACUUUUCCCAUUUGUUCAACCAUGAGUUCUCUUCCAGGCUUUAAUAAGAACACUGCAGGAAGCUUACAGAAACAGUAGUAUCCUGUUGAAUAAGACAAUAUAGCUUCAGUAGUUUGUCCUAUAUCAUACAUGGUUUCACUUUUUACAUGUUUUACAGUGCUUCAGCACAUUCAGGAGCAGUGGGAAUAGCUUGAUGGCAAACUGCCCUCACCUGCAGGGUACCUGCAGCACUCCCCUGUUAGCAGGCUGCUCAACUGCAGCUACUCCAUAUUUGCUUUGGGUUGACUCACUUAUUCCAAUUCCUUACUUUCGUCUCCCUGUAAAUCUACCCAAGAUGUUUUUGCCCAAUUUGUCACUGACAGCAAAAAUAAACAAACAUUUUAUCAUCUGUGGAAAUUUUCCUGCCUCAGUUUGAC